AAUGUUAGUGAGUAAAUCUACUAUCUUGGUGAAGUGUGAUGUGUAAGAUCAGAAAGCAGAGGGUGAGUUUAGAAAGAUUGCUUAAGUCGAUGUCUUUUCAUAGCGCUUUACAGCGUGGGCGGAAGAUAUCGACAAUUGGCCGGGGAGGGUCAUGUCUUUAUUAAAAAGACUGCUGGAGGGUCGUUGAAAAUUGUCUUGCAGGCUGGGGAGGGUCAUGCAACUUUUAAUUGAAGCACUCAAAAUCCCUCCGGUGACCCCGUUUAUAAAUAACGAACGGUCCCUAACACUAAUCAUCACUUGUUUUAUCUCAAUCAUAAACAGUCCCAUGAGCCUUUGUGCAAACUAACGUCAUCUGUCAAAAAAGCCCGACCCGAAAUGGCUAGAAUGUUAUUUGAUGCUUUUGACGUGCAGUUUCAUACUCUUAAGCCUGCUUUGAGUUGUGGGUUAGAAGGAGCCACCUUCUAGCUAGCAGUUUUAGAAGGCUGAACCCCAGAAUCCAGAAACAAGAACCGAGCAGGGACGGAGAAAAAAGAAGAAUCCAAAUGGGAAAUGAGAUAAGGCCUCUUCAUUUUCAACUGUGAAGGAUCUACAUGGACUUGGUCUGGAUAGCCUUUCCUGUUUUGAUGAGCCAGUCGGGUCUAGAGGAAAAACCCUAUAUGAGCCCCAGGAUUUUAUGAGGUAUGUAAACGUUCGAAAAACGCCGAAGAGCCCCGUAUAAGAGCCCCAGUGUGAUAGGCUGGUUGCUGUCAUGUGACACACGCCACCACAAGAAAGCGGAAACGCAUCGUAGAGCGAGAGCUGGCCGUGUGGGGUAAGAUCCUUGCUCCUGAUAUCCUGAUGUAUGGGAUGCACUUCAUUAUAUGACUCCAACAGAACACUCACAGAAAGGAGAGUGGUGUCAAACUACAAGACAGCCAGCAUGUAAGCAAGGCCUUGUUUGUCCUUGUUUGGCUACUCAUUUGUCUACUUCCUGAAGAGGCUGAAGCAUGCUGGCCUCCUUGCUUCCAU